rnacentral:rRNA from 1 species
AGCGAACGCUGGCGGCAGGCUUAACACAUGCAAGUCGAACGGGCAUCUUCGGAUGUCAGUGGCAGACGGGUGAGUAACACGUGGGAACGUACCCUUCGGUUCGGAAUAUCUCAGGGAAACUUGAGCUAAUACCGGAUACGCCCUUUUGGGGAAAGGUUUACUGCCGAAGGAUCGGCCCGCGUCUGAUUAGCUUGUUGGUGGGGUAACGGCCUACCAAGGCGACGAUCAGUAGCUGGUCUGAGAGGAUGAUCAGCCACACUGGGACUGAGACACGGCCCAGACUCCUACGGGAGGCAGCAGUGGGGAAUAUUGGACAAUGGGCGCAAGCCUGAUCCAGCCAUGCCGCGUGAGUGAUGAAGGCCUUAGGGUUGUAAAGCUCUUUUGUCCGGGACGAUAAUGACGGUACCGGAAGAAUAAGCCCCGGCUAACUUCGUG